GCUGUAUUAUAUAAACCCAUGGAGCGAGAGCUAGGCUUCAUAUGAGUCGGUUAUAGGCCAGCAGCUUACAGUGCAAAAAGAGGCAACUUACAUAAUUCUUCCGCUACUGGAAGAUGGCGAAAUCUUAUGUCGUAGAGCGUGAUUUUGUACACGGAAGCCACAAACACACACUACGUGAUCAUGUUGCUCCAGAGCCUUACAGAUGUAACGGUUGUAAGAUGCCGGGGUCCAAAAUAUGUUUCAAGUGUGUUGAUGGACUUUGCAAUUUUUAUCUUCACCCAGAAUGCUUUGCAGCAGAGCAAAUGAACACUCUCCGACACCCUCUCUUAGAAGAUUGUGAUUUCGAGUAUCACGAAAGCCCACCUAAGGUUGCUGCUGGCGGACAUGUUCCUUACUGCGAUGCAUGUGGAUUAGACAUAUUAGGGUUCAGGUACCGGUGCUUCACCAAGUCUCAUCUCGGCAACCCUCAUGACCUGCAUCCUACUUGUGCGAAUCUCAGGGAAGAAAUGACCUGGGAUAGUCUAAAGUUGGAACUCCUGAAUAAUGUGGAAACCAGGUGCUUGCAUUGUGAAAACAAGUAUUCUACGGACAGAUACAUACCUUUCAAUGGUUGGAAAUGGGUCGCAAAAGAUCAAAAAUACUGGGGUUAUCCUUCCUGCCUUUGGGGCAGGAAAGUUUGUUUUCAUGUUAAAUGCAUGUAUGAAAUACAGUCUCCUGGCUACAAAAGAAAAUAAAAUAUACUAAGCCUUUGUGCCGGUUUGGCAACCGCUUAUAAAUAAUCUCGACAUGUAUAUUUCGAUUCAUAAGGUGCUUACAUACUAAGAUACACAGGCACUUUGUAUGUUAAAUUCUUGUCCUUGAUUUUGUACUGGCAGGGGUUGUGGCACGGUUAUUCCAUAUUAGUGAACUUAAUUAAUUACUCCCUC